CAACUAGGCCCCGCCCACAGCCUCGCCCUACUCCCUGGCCCGCCUGGGUUCCCCCUCUGGAGGCGCAGCGCGGGGGUCCAGCAGUCGCGCGGGCCCGAGGGUCCAGUCCAAGCUCGGGCGGCUGCGGCCCAGGCGGCGUCGGCUGCCCGGGCUGGACUCCGCGGACUCCGGCUGUGCCCGUCGGAACCAAAACUCUCGGUUCUAGGAGGGCCGGGUCCGGGGAGGCGCCCGCACAAGUGUAUUCAGUGACUACUAAGGAAAUGAAUGAGGCCUUAGAGGCGUCUAUGUUAAAAUAUUACAGACUUCUGAGAGCUUUCAGGAGUUUGCCGCCCCUUAGAAUAGAGGGCAUUGAGGGUGUGUGCGGGCGGAGUGGCCGGGCCAUGCCAGUGUUUGCUGUCAGGCUAAGUGGCUUCCGGGGCUGGGGUGGUCCCCUUACUUAGACUCAUUCCAACAUUAGUUGAUUGGCUGGUUGGUUGGUUCAUUCAUUCUUUCAUUCAUUCAGUACGAGCAACAUUUACUGAAGGGCAGGCCCUACACAGGAGCUGGAGAUAGACUAAAGGGAACUCUGCCCUUGCUCCUUUCAGUGAUUCAGCAGAUAAUUGUGCAUCUAUAGGUGCCAGGCGCUGUUCUUGUCGCUGGGGAUGCAGCCCCCUCCGGAAUGGGACCUACUGUCCAAUGAAGGGAAAUGGAGGAAACCCAAGUCCCCAAGUAGACUGUGAUACCCGUCUGAGGGAGCAAGUGCUAAGAAGAGUGGGGCAAAGGCAGGGUGGAUGGUAAUGAGGUGAGGGGACCUUGCUUUCUGGAGGGUGACAGCUGUGACCGUACAAUGUGACCAGGAUGAUGAAAGCUUCCAUACUGUAAAUGUGGGAGGGACUCUUAGGGAGAGGGGGUCAGGAAGGCAUCCUGAGGGAGGGAAGGAUGGGGAGAAGGGGAGUGGAGUAGGCAAAUGGCCCCUCCCUAAAGAUGUCCAUGUCCUAGUCUCUGGAACCUGUGAAUAUAUUUCGUUACACAGCAAAGAAUAAUUAAGGUUGCCAAUGGAAUUACAGUUACUAAUCAACUGACUUUAAAAGAGGGAGAUUACCCUGAAUUAUCUGGGUGGGCCCAAUGUAAUCAUGAUGGUCCUUAAAAGUGGAAGAGGGAAACAGGAGAGUCAGAGAAAGAGAUGUGAUGACACAGAAAUGCUGUGUUGCUGCUUUGGAAGAUGGAGGAAGGGGCCACAGACAAAGGCAUGUGGGUGGCCUCUAGAAGCUGGAAAAGUCAAGGAAACAGAUUCUCCCCCAGAACCUCCAGAAGGAACACGGCCCAGCUGACGGCUUGAUUUUAGACCCAUGUUGGACUUCAAACCAACGGAACCGGAGCAUCAGUCAGGUGGAUUCUGCCAGGACUGGCCUGGUGGCUCAGAGGAAAACUGAGGCCUGGACAGUGGAGGAAUGGGGCCCUGGGCCAAAUUGUCGUGUGUGUGGAUAAGUACCUCUCUCCCUUCCUGCCACCGCGGCUCUGCCAAGAAUCCACCCACCCAGGCUUGCCUGUGCCCCUUACCAAGUGCCUCUUGCCCCUGAGCUCCUCAAAUCCUCUGAGAGCCCAGCAAGGUGGGCAGAGCCAGCAUCACUAUCCCCCUUUACAGAAAUGGAAACCGAAGCUCGGGCCCUGACAGUGAUCUACUUAGACUGCAAGUGGCAAGACAUGCUGGCUCUGGGCCCUCGUCCCCACUCAGUCUUCUCACCCAGCCAUUGUCACCCCCCACCCCGCCUUCCUUCCCACACACAGCCAGGUAGGGGGACAGCUAGGUGCCAGGCCCUGAGCACUGCUUCUGAGCCACAGACCCAGGUUCUGAGCUGGCUGUGCUGCUGACUUGCUCUGUGGCCACAGACGAAGAACGGACAGUCCCGUUCUGAGCCUUCUUGCCUGUAAAAUGGGAGUUACAUGAGUCCCAAGCAAGAGAAGGGACUUGCGAGUGUAUUGUUGAUGGGACCACACAGUCCCCGCAGGCAGGAGUUUCAUGGAAACAUUAUAACAGGAGCUUUGGGGGGUGGUGACUGGCCUUGUCACCUGACCUGGAAUGAGUCUAAUGAUGCCUAGAUGACUCUAAUAAUGACCCCCUGAGCCUGCGGCGCAGCCCCGCCCAUCAGCUGAGUGUCCUCCAUUGGAGGAAGGGGCUCGGGGAAGGUCAGGAGCUCCAUUCAGGGCUGGCGGCAAAACAAAGUUACAGAGAUGAAAGCUUGCAGAGGCCAAGACCCUCAUCCAAGGUCACUCAAAGCCAGGAACGAACUCCAGAGCCCUUUGGAGAGGUUCUGGUGUGUGUGUGUGUGUGUGUGUGUGUGUGUGUGUGUGUGUGUGUGUGUGCAGUUGGGGAGCCUUGGGGGAUGGAUAGAGAGCAGCAGAUUUGGCCCCCGAGCCUGACCCAACCCCCGGAACCCUCCCUCAGCAACUAGCCAUCCUCCCAAGCAGGACCCAAAGCCACAGGAACUGCGCUCUGGGGACUGUUUUAAUCCCACCUGGCUGUGACGUGGCUCCGCCCAGUGCCGGCUCCCUGUGCUGCUCUCCUGCCAUCAGCCAGAGAUACGGCCCCCACAAAGCCCACAUCCAAGGCCCGCUUUGUGCCGGGCACUGGGUUCUGUGCUUUGCAAGCACUCAGGUAGGUGGUUCAUUCUCCCCAUUCACAGAUGCGGUCAUGUCACUUGGCUGGGGCCUGAGGAAUCCCUGGGGAUGGGGCUGCUGGCAGCUCUCAGCUCUGCUGAAUGGACGAGAUCUUUGCAGAUACGCCCAGUGUUGCCAUGGCAGCCCUGCAAUUAAUGAGCAUUUAUAAAACAGGAUUUCAUUGACUAAAACUGGCUUUUUUAUGCAACUUCUCAGGCAGUGUGUAAAGGCCCAAGUAUGCGUGGUGAGGCCGGGAUCCUGAGCCAUGGGAGGGCCAGGGUGUCCUGCAUUUCUGACCCCGUAGACACUCAGGCCAAGUGCACCCUGCCCAGCCUGACUGAGGGUCUGCUGCCUCAGCUAGGGCCUGGACUAUUCUUGCUGGAAGGACUCCUGGACACCCCGGUGUCUGAGGGGGUAGGACCCUGAGGGACAUUCAGGACAGGUUAGAGGCAAGGAAGCCUGGGUGGAGCAAUGCCCCAAGGGGCUUCCCUGGAGGUCCAGUGGUUAAGACUCUGUGCCUGCAAUGCAGGGAGCAUGGGUUCGAUCCCUGGUCGGGGAACUAAGAUCCCACAUGCUGUGCGGCACGGCCAAAAAAUCCAAAAAAAAAAUGUGGUAUUCAAAUUCCUUCUUCUCAGCCUGGAGCCUUGCCUUGAUCCUGAGAUAAGCCCAGUCCCCACCCCUCUGCCGCCCAGUCCCACAGCAACUCCCCGCACCCACAGGACCUGUAAUCACCACACAGGGACUGACUCAGCCCUUCCUUCCCUGCCCAGCCUCUUCUUCCUGAAAAUCACCCACGUCAGCAGCCCCAGCCCCCAAAGGCCCUGGGGGAUAGAGUCCGAGGCCCCCUUUUCCGAGGUUAGCCUGGAAGAAUGGAGGAACUGAGCCGGAGGGGUAGGACUCCCAGGCCGGAGCCAGCUCUCCUCGGCCCCGCCCACCCGGGGACCUAGGGAGGCAGGUGGGAUGAGGGGACCAGGAGUCUGGGGACACGUCUGAGAGCAGGGAGUCAAAAGGGAAGGGUGGUGAUACUCUUGGGGGCGUCUAGGGGGCAGUGCGAGGAGACAAGGUCUCUGGAAGGGCCUCAGCCCCCGCCACCCCGAUCCCCUGCCACAGGGAGACAGGGAGCAGGGCAGGAGCUCCGUCCGCCCCUAGGAAGCCUCCUCCGCACAGCCUGAGCUCAGCCUGCAGGGCUCCGUGGCCUGAGCCAACCCCAGGCCUGGUUUGGAUUUUUCCUUGAUUGUUUCUUGUUUCCUUCCUCCCCUGGGCUCCUGCCAACUCCAGCCCUGCCCUCCUCGCUUUUCACUUGCCUUCAUAGAACUCUGACCUGGCAGAGGCUGGGAUUCGAGAUGAGAGUCCCUUCGAAGCUACCGCCAGCUUCUGCCUCUGCCUUGGACCCCUCCUUGGGAGCUGGGUGGCAGGGCCUUAGUGGGGGACUUUCCUUUGGGUCCGGAUUUUUGGCCCCAGGCCCAGGGCCAUGGGGGUUUCCGGAGUGGUGACAGCCCUGUCCUAGCAGGGACUGAGGCACUUCCUCCCGGAGGCCUCUGGGAACAUCCAAGCCACAUGGCUGUCUUUUGGCCUGGGGAACACAGAGUUAGCAGGCGUUGUUUUCAACACUUCCCACCCCUUCAAGGCACCUUGUCAUUAUUCAUUUUGAAAACUCAUUUGCAUCUACCUUGUGCCUAGAGCUGUGCUGACUGGAGAAGACACAGAGGGUCAAGGCUGGGCCCAGCCCUCAGAGAACAGAUACCCUGAGUAAAACAAAUAACCGAUUCUAAAACAGCACAUUCUGUGCCAUAAUGGAGGUCCUUGAAAGCAGAGGCCAGUUCUGAUUCACCUCUUUCUAUCCCAGGCAGCAUAGACGAGGCUCAGUGAGCGACUAUGGAUUGAGUGAAGCACCAAAAAGAACAGCGGUAAGAAGGAUUUGUUCUGCUAGAGGUGGGGAAACAGAUGGAAGAGUUAGGAAGGCUUCAAGAGGAGGUGAUAUUUGAGCAGGGUAUUAAUGGAUGAGUAGGAAUUUGCCAGGCAGAGAAAGGAAAGGAUAUUUCAGGGGGAGCAGGGAGAGGCAAAGGCAAAGGCCAGAAGGAGUGCAAGUAGAUGCAUGGUGUGAGCGGGAAACAGGAUAGAUGUGUCCAGCAGACCACGGCACAGGAGAGGGGGAAAGACCGGGAGGGUAGCUGGUGAGCACCAUUAUCCUUGCCCAGCUCCCAUUCCUCUUAUUCUGCUGACCACCCCUCAAUUUUCCAGAGUCUCCAGUAUGAUUGACCUUGCCUCCAAGCUCUAAAAGUGGGUCUGAGGCCCCAGCUUACCCAAUCUGAGUCAUAGGGAUGGGCAUGUCAGCAGUGGGCUUCAGCCUGGGAACUUGUGGUGACUAUUAGGGUGACAGAUGCCAAGAUGUCAACUCAGGGCUCUCAACUCACGGAAGAGCUUGUCCAAGAAUAAAGCCAGCACAGAGGAAAGCAGAGCCCAGAGAAUGACUCUCAAUAACAUUGUUCGUGCUUCUGGAUCCAGCCAUGCCUGAAUCAGACAUCCAUUAUGUGAACCAACAACUUACAAUUUUUGUUUAGUCCUGUUGGAAUUGGGUUUCUGUCACUUGCCCAUUAAAGAAUAAUUAAAAGCAGACAAUAGCUCACGAUAGCAGCCGAAUGCUGCGGGAGGGAAGCAAGGAUCUGUGCAGAAGUGCGACAUGACCAGAAUUGCAUUUUUUUAAUUUAAACUAUCUUGUUGACAUGGUAAUGCUUUCGUGUGGUUCACAAUCUAGAAAUCACAGCAGGCUGAAGAGCCCACGCGCCACAUCGAAAGAUCCCGCAUGUCGUGACGAAGAUCCCGCGUGCUGCAACUAAAGACCCGAAGCUGCCAAAUAAAUAAAUAAAUAAAAAUAUAAAAGAAGAAAUCACGAAAGACAAAACGUCUCCCUCUUACCCCUGUUCCCCAGGCACCAGUUCUCCUCUCCACAAACAACCAGCGUUAUCAGUUUCUUGUAAACACUUCUAGAGAUACUCUUUGCACAUGCAAGCAAAGCCCCGUCCGUUUAUUUUUUACACAAAUGGCAAUAUUUAGAGAAGUAGAGCCCCAAAGUACAGCAGACCUUGGUGGGAGCAGGGGGAGGACAGGCCCCACUGCCGGGGGCAAUUCUGCAGGAGCCAUGGGAAGCCACAAUUUAUUGAGCCUCUGCUAUUCACAUUGUCCGGCACCUUCCUUUCUUCAGUUGACAUUAUAUCUAUGACCACUUCAUGUCAGUUCAUAGAGUAUAUCGUCAGUUUCAUUUUCUCACAGCUGCACAGUAUUUCAAAUGGGGUGUACCAUAAUUUAUGCAAAUUAUGGCCUCUCCAGCCUCAAGCCCCCUCUCCACUCCCUCUGUUCUGGACAAGGGCCUUUCAGCCCAUCAGCCACCCCCAUGGCCUCAGUUGACGGACGUUUAGGUUGUCCCCAGCCCUUUCCUGUGACAAGCAGUGCUGCCAUCUUGCACAGAUGCUGUUACACACUCGUGUGAGCACAGCUGAAGAAUAAGUUCAUAGGGACUUGGGGGUCACAGGACACUCUCUGUUGUCAUUUGGUCAGCUCUGUCCACUUGUCUUUCUCAGGUGAUGUGCCAGGUCCAGGCCCCCAUAGGGACCACAGGGCCCAUUUCUCCUCAGCCUCACUGGCAACUGGUUCUCAGCCUUUUUGAUUUUUGAUUACUCUGGUAGGUAAACACUAACUAAAGACAAAGGAGCCUCAGUGUGGUUUUAAUCUCUGUUUCUCUUGUAAGUGAGUUUGGCCAUUUUUCAUAGGCUUCAGGGCCAUUUCUAUUUCCUUUUCCAUGAACUGGAAAAGGAAUUAGAGAAUUAUGCUUAAGAGGAUCGAUUCAGAGAAGGGGACGUGGAGGGAGGCCUGACUGGAGGCAGGUGCCACUUUGCGGGGGAUGGAUCAGGAGAGAGACGGAACUUGGCCCUGAGCUGUGGUGUGAAAGACGGCGCUGGAGAUGAUGAGGUCGAAAGAUUGGAAUUUGGUGACAGAUGGGCCACAGGGGCCAGGGAGGAAGGACCGGGGUCAGGCUGGUCCAGUGUGGUGACUUGGGUGACGAGAGGGGCCAGGGAGGAAAGGGAGGACAGUGGGGCCACCAAGGGAGAUGGAGGAUCCCAGCAGGGGCCCCACCCACUCUCCACCCCACAUCGUGACUGAUGCAAAACACCAACCUGACGGCCACACGCCCCUGCUCACAUGCUUCAGUGGCCACAAACCCUGGUCAGGGACCCUGCUGGCCUCCAGCCUCAAGCCACCUCUCGGCUCCCUCUUCUCCGGCCUUGAGCACACCCAGCCUCCAGGACGGGCUCCUUACACGGCUCCUCCCUUCACCGGCCGCCUCCUGCGAUUCCUGCAGGUCUCAGCCAUGGUAUCUCCCCUCGGGGAAGCAUUCCGGACCCCAAUCGAUGUCGAGUUCCCUCGGAGAAACUCCGGACCACGGUCCUCUCUGAGUCAUCGUCAUCUGAUUCAUGUCCAUCCCCCACUGGGCUGUAACCACUGUUGCCUCCCCAGAGUGGAUGCCAAUGAAUGUGAAUGAAUGAACAGACGAAUGAAUGAAGGGCAGGGUACCAUGGGUAGCAUACAGGGGGCAAAUAGGAGAUGAGGGUUUAGGAAGUAAAAGAGCCUGCAGUUGAGACUUCCCUGGUGGUGCAGUGAUUAAGAAUCUGCCUGCCAGUGCAGGGGACGAGGGUUCCAGCCCUGGUCUGGGAAGAUCCCAUAUGCUGUGGAUCAACUAAGGCUGGGCGCCACAACUACUGAGCCUGCACUCUAGAGAGCGAAAGCCACAACUACUGAGCCCACGUGCCACAACUACUGAAGCCCGUGCGCCUAGAGCCUGUGCUCUGCAACAAGAGAAACCCCUGCUUGCAGCAACUAGAGAAAGCCCGCACGCAGCAACAAAGACCCAAUGCAGGCAAAAAAAAAAAAAAGACCCUGGAGUGGGCUGCCUCUGUUUGAGGCACAGUGGCUCUCGGUGCUUUCCUGGCGCCCCCUCUAGGUGGAGCAGGAAUUCUCUCCAUUUGGUGGUACGUGUCUGCAUCCCGAUGCUGAGAAGAGAUCCCCACACAGAGCCGGCACCACUGCAAGUGUCUGCGAACAGGAGCAGGCGUGGGAACAGGCAUGGGAACUGAUGGGCUAGGGCCCAGGUGGACGUUUCAUGACAAGGCAUCCCUUCGGCAGUCCAUGCGCAUGGCAAAAGAUGUCAAACAGGAUGUGAGAAUGGACACGACAAAUAAUCCUCCGAGCCCUGACCCCUGGUUCUCCAACACCCAUCCCCAGAGAACCAUCUGCUUCAUCCUUGGGCUUGUGUCUUGAAGGCCCAGGGCACGACCAGGACGAGGGAAGAUGCCACCAAAGGGGAUUCUGAAGCAGGUCCUCCCAGAGCAUUGCCAACAGUCACACGACUUGUAUCCAGGCAACGGGCUCUUGCUCCCAUUCACGCGGAGCACCAGCUUUCUUUCCCGGGAAGCUGCACACCACCGCCUGCCUGCCCGGCACACGCCUCCCUCCCACCAGGAUACAGGUCUUUUCUCCCCUCUGUAAACCGCCCUAUCCCACUGGGGCCUCUGGAUCGUCCUUGACCAAUGGGCACCAGGACAUUACCAUUCCCCACAAGGCUGCUGCAGCAGCAACAUAAGAAUUGCCAGAGCCGUGACACCCAAGGAGCCACACGUGGGCUCAAACGGUAAGGGCCGGAGCUUUGUCUAUUGUGGCCAAAGGCUCGUAAUCUUCCCCGGCAAGGGUUUUCCAAGGCGGGGAGGGGUGGGGUUUUAGCUGAUAUGUGGCUUGAUAGAAAUACAAAUGACAUUCUCGAACUGCGGCAACUCUAUCAGGUUGUGGGAGAGGGGCCCAGGCUCCAUCCUGAGGCUGCUAAGUCACAGUGGCCCUUUGACCGUGGCUGGGUGCUUCCCGUGUGGGGGAUCCUGGGGAGGAGGGAAAAUCAGCUCCCCAAGCUGGGGCUUGUCUCCAAUUCCUGCCUUCAGAGGAGGCGCUUAUAAAACGAAUGAAACAAAGCAGCGACUGCUUGUUUUCAGAGGGAGACCAGUUUUACCCAAGCCUGGUCCGAUCUGUUGUUGAUUCCACUUCACCAUCAGAGGAGGAAGGCAAAGGUUGCACACUAUUAGGUUAACUAUUUAUCUCUGACUCAAGGCAUCGGCACGGGCUGCUCCCUCGGCCUGACAGCUGCGGGUUUCCAGCCUUGGCUUUGGCGUGUGAGGCAGGACGGCCGCCAGCUCAGGGCAGAAACCCGCUCCACGUUUAGCCAGCGACAUCCUCUCCCCAGAUGCCAGGACACACAGGGGACAGGACGCAGGCUUGUCAUCCCAGGGUGGAGUUCCCUGGUAGUGGCCUGGGAAAGGUGUCGAGGUCAAAUCUGUCACAGCUCCCUGAGCCCUAAGCACUCCCUUCACGGUCAGCUACUCCGUCGGGCGGGCUCACCUCCGCUGCGUCAGGAUGUGCUUGAGUAUUCGGCUGAACCUGUCUGAAGUUCCGGAAGAACUAGGAGAGGAAGAAAAGCAAGAAACGGAAAGUGGAACCUUGUUUAUCAGUGCCUGUUUCUCCUCGGGGAGGAUUUAUUAAACUAGAGAGAAGCGACGCGGCCAAGGCGUGUGACAAGAAGGUACCUCUGGGGAAGUUUAAAGACCUGCCCGCAAAUGCUCGGUCUGCUGAGCAGGACACUGGGUUGAGAAGGGAAAGAGCAGGAACCCCUUGCGAUCAGGGCCCAGGCAGGCUAUCACCAGCUCCGCAUCGUGCCAGAGAACGUGGAGUCUGUCCCGGCGCGAGGCCAGCUGUAGCCGGCGUGACCCUUGCUCCUCCAACCAGAGCCAACAAACACACACCCAUUCUCGCCUAGGACGCAAACUGCUCCACACUCCUGCCCAUCACGGCGAUGCGAGCAGUGAACCGCUGAGCCUCAGCUCAACACAUCUGGCUGUGUCUGGUCCUCUGCAGGGCUACACACUGUUCCGGAAGGGGGAACACCCUGUGGGGUGAAUUCACAGUCACCCUCUACAAGCAGGGACAUCUUGUUUAGGUCACAAAUGUGGCAAACAAAGAAAAGUAGAUGAACUUCCAUGACUAGAAGUUAAGUGCAAAGACAGAAUGGAUGUGGUCCUUCAGGGUCUCAAACACCACAGAAACAAGUGGUAACAGAAACACAUGCAUCCCACCGCUCCCCUUGGGUGCAGAGAAACUCAGUGGCCAAAGGCUUUGGCAGAAAGUGCUGCUCUAGGGGCUGCCCUCUCAACCCUGCCAAGCAACCCCUUGGCCAAGGACAGGACCAGGAUCCAGAGGAACUGCCUGCGGGACGAAAAACCCUUCUCACCUACUGAUCUCCUCAGCCCCCAUGUGGAGCAGCAGAUCGGUGGAUGUCAAGCCAAAGAUCGUUCCAUUUAUGGAGAGCGUGCAGGGCUCGGACACAAACUGCACUCGCUAAAAUGAGAAGGGUGGGACAGACGUUUGCACACCAAAGCUAGAAACUUCUUCCCCAUGAAAAUGGGGGGUCUGCAAGGGCUGGGGGGACCAGUGAAAGGGGGACCAACCCAACGGACAGUAAGUCACACGCCUGCCUGUUACAAAGAGAAGCUUAAGACGCAGGCACAUGUGCCUCAAAGGCGUCCCCACCCUCUGCUUCCGGGACGAGUUGGGCCGCCUUCGGCACGUUGGACUCUGGCUGCCUGGUCGAGGAGGGGACGCUGGUACCUUUUUGUCCUCCCGAGGCAGGUCGGAGCAGCUGAAGGGCGGCUGUGGGUACACGGGCUCGUGGUGCACGUCUCUCAAUGAUGGGACGAAGAUGAGGUGUGAGCCGGAGCUACUUUGCCAAAAAAAGCAUCAGAACAGGAAGGAAAAUGAGUGCAGCUGAGUUAGCAUAGCUGGGUGACAGACUUAAAGGGUCAGAGCUGGACACAAGAGCCUACUUCCAGGGAAGAAGUUCCGAACGGAGCUCUCCUAUGAAGGCGGGGUGCCGUUCCCCAUGGGACACCAGGAACGAGAGACGACCUGUCCUAAUUUACACACAACCACCUGGAUGGGGCUCAUGGCUCUCUCCCAGGACACGCUUUCUCCUGGCUCCGUACGAUGUUCUACUCGAGAGAGGAAGAGGACUAACUACUGUUUCGUAGAAAAAGGGGAGAAGAAACGGAGAUCUAGGAAAGCAGGAAAGACAAGGAUUUGACUGAAAAUCCUCAGAGCCAGAUCUGAAGCCAAAGUUCUGACUCUUCACACUGUGUGAACAGACGUGGCUUUUAGGCGUCACUAGCCUCCCUGGCUGGGGGCCUCUUCCCUCGGGAGGGACCCGGCAGGCUGAGCAGAUCUGGGAGGGGAAGGCACGGCAGGUUCUGGUUCGCCAAGAGCCCGCCCCACCCACCCCUCCCCC